UUGCAGGUACGGGAGCUGGAAGGAGAGGUUGAGAGUGAGCAAAAGCGUAAUGCUGAGGCUGUCAAAGGUCUGCGCAAACAUGAGAGGCGAGUGAAGGAACUCACUUACCAACGGAAGAAGAUAGAAAGAAUAUUCUCAGGCUUCAAGAUUUGGUAGAUAAACUUCAGGCAAAAGUGAAAUCUUAUAAGAGACAAGCUGAGGAGGCGAGGAACAAUCCAACACCAAUCUAGCUAAAUUCCGCAAGCUCCAGCAUGAGCUGGAGGAGGCCGAGGAACGGGCUGACAUUGCUGAGUCCCAGGUGAACAAACUGCGGGUGAAGAGCCGGGAGGUUCACACAAAAGUCAUAAGUGAAGAGUGAUCAUGUCCUGAUGCCAUGGAAUGACUGAAGACAGGCACAAAAUGUGACAUCUUUGGUCAUUUCCCUCUGUAAUUAUUGUGUAUUCUACCCUGUUGCAAAGGAAAUAAAGCAUAGGGUAGUUUGCAAACAAUAUCCUUAGACUGGUCUUGUCUU
rnacentral:lncRNA from 1 species